UACGAGGGGUGCGAGCGUUAUUCGGAAUCAUUGGGCGUACAGGGUGCGUAGACGGCAUGUUAAGUCAACUGUUAAAUUCCCUGGCCUAACUGGGGGCAAGCAGUAGAUACUGAUGUGCUAGAGGGUGGAAGAGAGAAGUGGAAUUCUCGGAGUAGCGGUAAAAUGCGUAGAUCUCGAGAGGAACACCGAUGGCGAAGGCAGCUUCUUGGUCCAUUCCUGACGUUGAGGCACGAAAGCGUGGGGAG
rnacentral:rRNA from 1 species